CACGUAGGGUGCGAGCGUUGUCCGGAAUUAUUGGGCGUAAAGAGCUCGUAGGCGGUGUGUCGCGUCGGCCGUGAAAACUUGCAGCUUAACUGUGGGCGUGCGGUCGAUACGGGGCAUCACUGGGAGUUUCGGCAGGGGAGACUGGAAUUCCUGGUGUAGCGGUGAAAUGCGCAGAUAUCAGGAGGAACACCGGUGGCGAAGGCGGGGUCUCUGGGCCCGAUACUGACGUGGAGGAGCG
rnacentral:rRNA from 1 species